AGCGAACGCUGGCGGCAGGCCUAACACAUGCAAGUCGAGCGCUCGUAGCAAUACGAGAGCGGCAGACGGGAGAGUAACACGUGGGAACGUGCCCUUCGGUUCGGAAUAACUCAGGGAAACUUGAGCUAAUACCGGAUACGCCUUACGGGAAAGACUUAUUGCGAAGGAGCGCCGCGUCUGAUUAGCUAGUUGGUGAGGUAACGGCUCACCAAGGCGACGAUC
rnacentral:rRNA from 1 species